rnacentral:rRNA from 1 species
ACACUCCUACGGGAGGCAGCAGUGGGGAAUAUUGGACAAUGGGGGCAACCCUGAUCCAGCCAUGCCGCGUGAGUGAUGAAGGCCCUAGGGUUGUAAAGCUCUUUUGUGCGGGAAGAUAAUGACGGUACCGCAAGAAUAAGCCCCGGCUAACUUCGUGCCUGCAGCCGCGGUAAUACGAAGGGGGCUAGCGUUGCUCGGAAUCACUGGGCGUAAAGGGUGCGUAGGCGGGUCUUUAAGUCAGGGGUGAAAUCCUGGAGCUCAACUCCAGAACUGCCUUUGAUACUGAGGAUCUUGAGUCCGGAAGAGGUGAGUGGAACUGCGAGUGUAGAGGUGAAAUUCGUAGAUAUUCGCAAGAACACCAGUGGCGAAGGCGGCUCACUGGUCCGGUACUGACGCUGAGGCACGAAAGCGUGGGGAGCAAACAGGAUUAGAUACCCUAGUAGUCCCA